AGUCUGUGGGUGCUCACUGUGGGCUGUUUUCUUAAUCUGACCAUAUAGAAAGAGGCAGAGUAAAACUAACCCAUGCAUACCACAGCCCUGGAACUCGUCUGUAUUGUAAAAGAAGAGACACAA